GGCAGUGGAACAAGGGACCUGUGGAACAAGAGGCUCUCCAACAGCGGGCUGCAGCUUGGAGGGAGCUGGGAGCCUCGUGCCCACCAGAUCUGGGUUUGAAUCCUGAUUCCACCUCAGAGAGGCAGUGAACCUGGAGCUGGUGUUAUCAUCAGAAAAUGGGGACAGUGCAGGGGGACUUCAGGAAGUUCCUGGGAAAUGGACUCAAAUGACAAACCAUUCCCCGUGAAUUCUUCCAAGUCCCGCCUCUGGCAAUCCUGAUGUCACCCAGCUUUACAAGAAAGAAAAUGAGCCAUGCAGUCCCCGAAGCCUGUAUCAUCCCAACCCCUCCUGUACUAGGUGCUCACAUCAGGCAGCGAUGUCCUCACACACAGCCCCAACCCAGCCUCCCGCCCUUCGACGUGGCAAGUGGAGCUUUAUCAGAACCCAGCCGCCUGCCUUCGCUUUCACGCCGUCAUAGUGCUCUUCGCAUUUGCAUCACGUCAGGAACUUCUGCAGGCGGCGUACAGGGCUUUGUUCUCCCAAGAAGUCCGGCUCCCGGCUGCUGCCAGUGAGAAUUUGGGUUGGCGGUGCCAGCGCCAGCUGGGAGCCUGAUGGAAGUGCAGACCUUCUGAAUCAGGAUCUUCAUAUGAUGGGGUCGCCAGGUGACUCACGUGCACCUUCAAGUGUGGGGAACACGGGGGCGUGAGAUUGCAAUGGCACCCAGAAAUGGCCACCGACCCAAUUUGAUUCCCUAGAUAAUUUGUAAAGUUGAUGUCCCAUAUAUAUUGUGAACCCAGCUACACUCCGAGUCCAUAAAAGAGCAUUAGUCCCCACAAAUCUCUUCCUGUUUCUUUUCAGAGCAUCUGCCCCAUUUCUGCUUUUAGCAACAAGGGAACUUAGAAUAGGUGGACUUCCGGUGGAGAGGGGAUGGGCGAGGUGGACUUCCGGUGGAGAGGGGGUAGGCGGGAGAGGUGGGCUUCCAGUGAAGAGGGGAUGGGCGAGGUGGACUUCUGGUGCAGAGAGGAUGGGUGAGGUGGACUUCCGGUGGAGAGGGGAUGGGUGAGGUGGACUUCCGGUGGAGAGGGGAUGGGUGAGGUGGACUUCCAGUGGAGAGGGGGUAGGCGGGAGAGGUGGGCUUCCAGUGAAGAGGGGAUGGGCGAGGUGGACUUCUGGUGCAGAGGGGAUGGGUAGAGGUGGACUUCCGGUGGAGAGAGGGGUGGGUGAGGUGGACUUCUGGUGG
rnacentral:lncRNA from 1 species